rnacentral:lncRNA from 1 species
GAUCUUCCCACUUCUGCCUCCCAAAGUGCUGGGAUUACAGGUGUGAGCCACCAUGCCCAGCCAAGUUCUGCUUCUUAACCUGAGGUAGAUACUUUGAUGUUUCAUUUUCCUUUAUUGUACAGAUAUACUUUAUAUUCUCAUGUGACACAAGUCAAAAUUUAAAAAAACAAUUUAAUGUUUAUUCCCUUUAGAUGAAUGAUGGGCAAAUUUACAUAAUGAAUUCAUUACUGAAACAAUGUAUAGAUUUCAGACUAGGAAAGUAACUAUUUAUAAAAGAAAAGCUUAAAACCUGAAACAGAAACAAAAUCCUGAAACUGUAAAAUUGAGUCAAACUAAAAUUUAAAAAACAAAGCAAUGAUAUAAAGUAUCAUUUGUCCAAAUGUGUUCUACAAAAUGCUUUUUUCUUAAAUAUGUCUGAGGAAAAACAGGUUCUAGGAGUAAAAUAUGUUUGAAAAAUGCUGAGUUAAACAACUGAACCUAUGAAGGAAGGAAUAGAACUUCUCAAGCUCUUGACUCUGGAAUCUUUUUUACAUGGCAAUUAACACCAUGCUUCUUCUUGGAUUUGUAUUUCAGAUAAACACAAUCUGGGAAACAUUUUAUAAUACAGAGGGCCACACCAGAUUGAAUAUUGCCCCCAGGAAUGAAAUGAAAACAGGAAUGGAUUCUCCAGUAAGAGGGUAUCACAGGGCGUCAAACUGGAAAAUGUGGCACUGCCUGGAGUUUCUACCUGGUGAAGGGUGGCAGACUUUUCUCUUCAGAGGACUCUUGACAGGUUGUUUGAAUCGGUGGAUGCAGAACCCAUGAAUAUGGAGAGUCAAUUGCAUUUUAUUAUGCCCAAAGGUUCAUUAUACACCAUGGAAUACUAUGCAGCCAUAAA